rnacentral:rRNA from 1 species
GGGUUGUGAGGUUAAGCGACUAAGCGUACACGGUGGAUGCCCUGGCAGUCAGAGGCGAUGAAGGACGUGCUAAUCUGCGAUAAGCGUCGGUAAGGUGAUAUGAACCGUUAUAACCGGCGAUUUCCGAAUGGGGAAACCCAGUGUGUUUCGACACACUAUCAUUAACUGAAUCCAUAGGUUAAUGAGGCGAACCGGGGGAACUGAAACAUCUAAGUACCCCGAGGAAAAGAAAUCAACCGAGAUUCCCCCAGUAGCGGCGAGCGAACGGGGAGGAGCCCAGAGCCUGAAUCAGUGUGUGUGUUAGUGGAAGCGUCUGGAAAGGCGCGCGAUACAGGGUGACAGCCCCGUACACAAAAAUGCACAUGCUGUGAGCUCGAUGAGUAGGGCGGGACACGUGGUAUCCUGUCUGAAUAUGGGGGGACCAUCCUCCAAGGCUAAAUACUCCUGACUGACCGAUAGUGAACCAGUACCGUGAGGGAAAGGCGAAAAGAACCCCGGCGAGGGGAGUGAAAAAGAACCUGAAACCGUGUACGUACAAGCAGUGGGAGCACAGAGCAAUCUGUGUGACUGCGUACCUUUUGUAUAAUGGGUCAGCGACUUAUAUUCUGUAGCAAGGUUAACCGAAUAGGGGAGCCGAAGGGAAACCGAGUCUUAACUGGGCGUUAAGUUGCAGGGUAUAGACCCGAAACCCGGUGAUCUAGCCAUGGGCAGGUUGAAGGUUGGGUAACACUAACUGGAGGACCGAACCGACUAAUGUUGAAAAAUUAGCGGAUGACUUGUGGCUGGGGGUGAAAGGCCAAUCAAACCGGGAGAUAGCUGGUUCUCCCCGAAAGCUAUUUAGGUAGCGCCUCGUGAAUUCAUCUCCGGGGGUAGAGCACUGUUUCGGCAAGGGGGUCAUCCCGACUUACCAACCCGAUGCAAACUGCGAAUACCGGAGAAUGUUAUCACGGGAGACACACGGCGGGUGCUAACGUCCGUCGUGAAGAGGGAAACAACCCAGACCGCCAGCUAAGGUCCCAAAGUCAUGGUUAAGUGGGAAACGAUGUGGGAAGGCCCAGACAGCCAGGAUGUUGGCUUAGAAGCAGCCAUCAUUUAAAGAAAGCGUAAUAGCUCACUGGUCGAGUCGGCCUGCGCGGAAGAUGUAACGGGGCUAAACCAUGCACCGAAGCUGCGGCAGCGACGCUGAUGCGUUGUUGGGUA